rnacentral:lncRNA from 1 species
AUGUCCUCCUCCCCCCUGUCCCUAUAUUCCCCCGUCUCCAUAUCCUCCUCCCCCCCCGUCCCCAUGUCCCUCUGCCCCACGUCCCGCCACCAGGUGCGCUCGCUGUCCCCGCGCCCCUCUCUGAGCGACCCGGCGGAGCUGCAGCUGCUUCCAAGCGAUCCCCGCUUCUCGCUAUUUCAUUGUCACAGUUUCUCGGGCCCGGCCCUUAUCUCUCCCCGCAGACACCCGCGCAGCGGUCGCAGCCCCCGGAGCUCUCCGUGCCCCCCCCAGGGCUGCGGCCGGAGCCGGGGUUCUGCCUUCACCUCCCCACGUCCCACCAGUUUCUGCCUUCCCCUCCCCCCCCCCUCCCUGCCUAUCCCGGGCCGCUCAGCGCUCACCGCCGCUGCCCUUCUUUAUCUCCUGGCUUCAGCCCCGACUUUGCGGGAGGGGGAAAUGCAAAACGAGUGCAAACGCAGAAAAAAAAUUCGCGUUCGGCCAUUUUCUGCGAAGUUGACACCUCGAGAGAGUUUGUCCGAGGCGUGGAAACUGAACGUGGAAACUGCAAACACCGCACCUGGGCUGGAAGCUGUGUGGCCCCCCUUUCCCUUUCCCCCCUCCCCCCCGUGGUUGUCCCGGGCCGCGGGGACCCUCGUAAUCAGGGCACCCGGAGGGGUUCGCUCCAGGAGGACAGCGCUAGGAUGGUGUGGGGCAGUCGAGACGGUGCUUAGGAGUGUGUUGGGACGGUCUGAGAGCGAGGAGCAUCGAGCAGCAGCGCCGGCCGGGCCGAAGCGUACAGGGCGGAGGCUGCAGCCGCACCUGGGGGCCGGGCGGGGCAGACGGGACGCCGACGGGCUCAGAGCUCCUCCCGGCUGCGGUUCGGCCACACCGGCGGCUCUGGGCGGGAGCUGCGGGAAAGGGGAAGGAAAGGAAAGGGAAGGGAGCGCCGUGUUCUCUCUGCCCGAGGAGCGUCCGCGUCUUCGCGUCUCCUGGAUGGAAAAAAAUCAGUAUUUUGCCUCCAGCUGCUAA